UUCUCAUGUGGUUUGCGUUUGCAUAAUUAUCCUAUUACUACUUCGAGAUCUAGUCUUGUUGAAGCAUUUGGGUUGUUGUCUUCGAUUCCAAAAAAAAUUCAAGUGGUUGUGGGUUGUGCCCUCAAACUUAUAGAAUAGCUGAGUGUAUAAAAUCUUUCAAAUUAUUGAUUAAAGUACAUGAUGUUGCUUUAUCGAUGUCAUGG